ACCCUGGCAGUCCAGUGGCUAAGACUCCACAUUCCCAAUGUAGGGGAUCCGGGUUCAAUCCCUGGUCAGGGAA
rnacentral:tRNA from 1 species